UGUCUUCUUGCGGCCAGUGGCGCCCCUGAUGAGAACAGCAAAGUGUGUUUCUUCUAGUCCGUGUUCUAUUUCAAGUGGUUUGUUUCUGCUUAAUUUUUGCUUCCUUACAAGUGAAUGAGAGCUUAAUUCUGCAGAGAAAAGAAGGGCCUGACAAACAGUGACUGCUGAGGGGCAGUCAAGUCUCCCCCUGCUACCGUGUUCAUUGAAAAAUACAUCACAUGGAAAAUACACCGAGGUCUGCUGGCCUGGCUUUAUGAAGUAGCUGUGUGCAGUGAAUGUUCCUGGCUGUGGCAGCGGUGAAGUUCAUCAAAGUGAAGAUCAGCAUCUGUCAUGUACUUUUGCCAUACAGAUUCUACACAAGCAUAUAGCCAAGCGAGUAUGAGCUCAGCCUUCUAAAACUAGGCCUGGAGUCAAUAGUGGUGAAGAUGACAUAGCAACAGUCACAGAGCCUUGGCGGCCGAAGCAGGAAGCUGAGCGCUCACAUCUCAACCAUCCACAGGAAGCGACAAAAAUGCCAGCAGAUCAUGCCUCGCUCUGCGAUCAUUAGAGAAGCUUCCUCCUACAGUAGAUGGAAACAAAUCCAGAGAUCCAUAACUGGGAAAUGUCCAGAGAGUGAGUGCCUUAGAACAUUCAGUUCUACACGGAAUGUCUCCAUUAAAUCCCUCACCUCGGGGCUCGGGGAACUCUAGAGAAGAGGAUUCCGAAAGAUUGUGAGAACCUGGGGAGAUGGAACACAUCAAAGAAAUGAGUCUUCUAGACACAACAGAACCGACACACGUGUGAAUCCUGAGAGACAUCGUGUGAGCUGAGAGAGACUGUGGUGGCAUGCACAGGGCCUGCACAGGGCUAAGCCAGAUGGGAUCUCGAUGCUGAGAGGGGAAGAAGACGCAACCCAGAAGCUAUCACCCAAAUUGAUAGCUUCUCAGGAAAGUGAAAUUAGUUUCCUAAAACUGAGUCUCACUCAAUAUACAGCCACAGGGCGGGCCCGUGCCCAACAGUAGAUGAUUAGCCCAAAAGAAACUCAGUAGU